rnacentral:rRNA from 1 species
AGAGUUUGAUCCUGGCUCAGAACGAACGCUGGCGGCAGGCUUCAUACAUGCAAGUCGAGCGAUUAAAGCCCCUUCGGGGGUGUAUAAAGCGGCGAACGGGUGAGUAACAGGUGGACAAUCUGCCCUUUGGUGGGGGACAACAGUUGGAAACGACUGCUAAUACCGCAUGUGAUUGGAGAAUCCCCGGAUUUUCCAAGGAAAGGCGCUUCGGCGCCGCCAAAGGAUGGGUCCGCCCCCCAUUAGCUUGUUGGUGAGGUAACGGCUCACCAAGGCUUCGAUGGGUAGCCGAGCUGAGAGGUUGAUCGGCCACACUGGAACUGAGACACGGUCCAGACACCUACGGGUGGCAGCAGUAGGGAAUAUUGCGCAAUGGGCGAAAGCCUGACGCAGCCAUGCCGCGUGAGUGACGAAGGCCUUCGGGUCGUAAAGCUCUUUUCUGAGGGAAGAACAUCCGGGUGAGGUAAUGCUCCCGGUCUGACGGUACCUCAGGAAUAAGGAACGGCUAACUCCGUGCCAGCAGCCGCGGUAAUACGGAGGUUCCAAGCGUUGUUCGGAUUUACUGGGCGUAAAGGGAGCGCANGCGGAAUGGUCANUGGAGAGUGGAAUCCCGGGGCUCAACCUCGGAAGUGCUUCCCAUACUGCCAUUCUCGAGUU